AAAUAAGAAGCAAAACAUUGCAUUUAGUUUCGACCUAAAAGUUUGGCCCGCCCGCCCUUAUUUG
rnacentral:tRNA from 1 species